GCGGCAUGCCUNACACAUGCAAGNCGAACGGUAGAGGGGCAACCCUUGAGAGUGGCGAACGGGUGAGUAAUAUAUCGGAACGUGCCCAGUCGUGGGGGAUAACGCAGCGAAAGCUGCGCUAAUACCGCAUACGAUCUAAGGAUGAAAGCGGGGGAUCGCAAGACCUCGCGCGAUUGGAGCGGCCGAUAUCAGAUUAGGUAGUUGGUGGGGUAAAGGCCUACCAAGCCGACGAUCUGUAGCUGGUCUGAGAGGACGACCAGCCACACUGGGACUGAGACACGGCCCAGACUCCUACGGGAGGCAGCAGUGGGGAAUUUUGGACAAUGGGCGCAAGCCUGAUCCAGCAAUGCCGCGUGCAGGACGAAGGCCUUCGGGUUGUAAACUGCUUUUGUACGGAGCGAAACGGUCUGGGUUAAUACCCUGGGCU
rnacentral:rRNA from 1 species